UACGAAGGGGGCUAGCGUUGCUCGGAAUUACUGGGCGUAAAGGGCGCGUAGGCGGACGACUUAGUCAGAGGUAAAAGCCCAGGGCUCAACCUUGGAACUGCCUUUGAUACUGGUCGUCUUGAGUACGGGAGAGGUGAGUGGAACUCCGAGUGUAGAGGUGAAAUUCGUAGAUAUUCGGAAGAACACCAGUGGCGAAGGCGACUCACUGGCCCGUUACUGACGCUGAGGCGCGAAAGCGUGGGGAGCAAACAGG
rnacentral:rRNA from 1 species